AUUGAACGCUGGCGGCAGGCUUAACACAUGCAAGUCGAGCGGGGAAAGGUAGCUUGCUACCUGACCUAGCGGCGGACGGGUGAGUAAUGCUUAGGAAUCUGCCUAUUAGUGGGGGACAACAUCUCGAAAGGGAUGCUAAUACCGCAUACGUCCUACGGGAGAAAGCCGGGGACCUUCGGGCCUUGCGCUAAUAGAUGAGCCUAAGUCGGAUUAGCUAGUUGGUGGGGUAAAGGCCUACCAAGGCGACGAUCUGUAGCGGGUCUGAGAGGAUGAUCCGCCACACUGGGACUGAGACACGGCCCAGACUCCUACGGGAGGCAGCAGUGGGGAAUAUUGGACAAUGGGGGGAACCCUGAUCCAGCCAUGCCGCGUGUGUGAAGAAGGCCUUUUGGUUGUAUAGCACUUUAAGCGAGGAGGAGGCUACCGAGAUUAAUACUCUUGGAUAGUGGACGUUACUCGCAGAAUAAGCACCGGCUAACUCUGUG
rnacentral:rRNA from 1 species